rnacentral:rRNA from 1 species
CAGCAGCCCGAGUGGUGGUCGUUUUUAUUAGGCCUAAAGCGUCCGUAGCCGGUCUAGUAAAUCCUUGGAUAAAUCGUACAGCUUAACUGUACGGCUCCCGGGGAGACUGCUAGACUUGGGACUGGGAGAGGUCGGAGGUACUCCAGGGGUAGGGGUGAAAUCUUGUAAUCCUUGGGGGACCACCAGUGGCGAAGGCGUCCGACUAGAACGGGUCCGACGGUAAGGGACGAAGCCCUGGGGCGCGAACCGGAUUAGAUACCCGAGUAGUC